UACGUAGGGUCCGAGCGUUGUCCGGAAUUACUGGGCGUAAUGAGCUCGUAGGUGGUUUGUCGCGUUGUUCGUGAAAACUCACAGCUCAACUGUGGGCGUGCGGGCGAUACGGGCAGACUUGGGUACUGCAGGGGAGACUGGAAUUCCUGGUGUAGCGGUGGAAUGCGCAGAUAUCAGGAGGAACACCGGUGGCGAAGGCGGGUCUCUGGGCAGUAACUGACGCUGAGGAGCGAAAGCGUGGGGAGCGAACAGG
rnacentral:rRNA from 1 species